rnacentral:rRNA from 1 species
CAGCACCUCAAGUGGUCAGGAUGAUUAUUGGGCCUAAAGCAUCCGUAGCCGGCUCUGUAAGUUUUCGGUUAAAUCUGUACGCUCAACGUACAGGCUGCCGGGAAUACUGCAGAGCUAGGGAGUGGGAGAGGUAGACGGUACUCGGUAGGAAGGGGUAAAAUCCCUUGAUCUAUUGAUGACCACCUGUGGCGAAGGCGGUCUACCAGAACACGUCCGACGGUGAGGGAUGAAAGCUGGGGGAGCAAACCGGAUUAGAUACCCGAGUAGUCC